UCUUUCUCUCUCCUUGUUGUGAUCUCCUGUCUCGUGUCAUAUAAAAACUUAGCUCCAUAAUUACCGCUAACUACAGAAAAUGGGUACAUGGAAUGCUUGAGGGAACUGAAUCUAAUAAGUUGGAGUUGAUCCAUUCAAGAGGACUACUAGAGUAGGAUACUUCAUGCCUAUUUGAGAUUCCAUAUGCAUAUCUGAGAUUGGUGUCCUGGUUGAACUACUAACUGUUUGUACAUCUUUACUUGAAACAAUUUGGUUUGGUACAUCGUUGGUUGAAGAGGGCUUCCAGUCUCUUUCAGUAAUGAUCCCCGACCAAGGUGCUCAGUAGUUUCUUCUCCGGUGACUUGCAGCAAAUUGGCCACUACAUUUGUUAUCGGCUUUGAUUAUGAUUGUAUCUAACUUCAGUAGUUUGUAAUUCAUUUUCUUAAAUCUCGGUUUCACUGGAUAAUAGGACUAGUACUAGUAUUAUGUGUUCUCUGUUUGAUUUCUUAUUCCCUAACUUGAGGUUUGAAAUCUUCUCUGCCAUGGGGAUUUUAAGAUUGGGUCAUGCUCUUAUCGGCGUUUACCGCAAGAUUGAUGGUGAUUUUUUCCGGCAGAAUCAGAAGUUCCGUCACUUCUCCGGCGUGUUCAUUGUUCUCUGUGGAAGAAUUUUUCCAGUCAACAUAUUUUCAACAAUCCUUAGAAUCUUCUUUUUGUUGUUGGUUGUGCUCAGUAUUCGAAUUGCCUCAUGGGUUUGGUUUGCAUUUUUUGGCAGAGAAUCAAUCACAGCUUUUCAUCAGCUUCAUAUAUAACCACUGAUCAAUUGGAAGUGUUAACAACAGCUUUGGCAUCGGCUUCAAAUACACCGACAGGUUUCAGAUCUGCUAUAUUUUUUAUUUAUGGUGUUGAGAGAAUUUCCAUAUCUCUUGUGUUAGAUUUAGUAUGUAUUGCUAUUAUGUUGGUCCUCUUGUUAUAGUUUUACCUGUUUUAGGCUUAGAAAUGAAAACAAAGACAAUACCAACUCGAUCA